AUGAAUUUGCCUGUUCAUCUCUUGGUGCUUCUGUUGUUCUGGAUUCCUGCUUCCAGAGGUGAUGUUGUGGUGACUCAAACUCCACUCUCCCUGCCUGUCAGCUUUGGAGAUCAAGUUUCUAUCUCUUGCAGGUCUAGUCAGAGUCUUGCAAACAGUUAUGGGAACACCUAUUUGUCUUGGUACCUGCACAAGCCUGGCCAGUCUCCACAGCUCCUCAUCUAUGGGAUUUCCAACAGAUUUUCUGGGGUGCCAGACAGGUUCAGUGGCAGUGGUUCAGGGACAGAUUUCACACUCAAGAUCAGCACAAUAAAGCCUGAGGACUUGGGAAUGUAUUACUGCUUACAAGGUACACAUCAGCCUCC